UUAAGUUAUUAAGGGCGCACGGUGGAUGCCUUGGCACUAGAAGCCGAUGAAGGACGUUACUAACGACGAUAUGCUUUGGGGAGCUGUAAGUAAGCUUUGAUCCAGAGAUUUCCGAAUGGGGAAACCCAGCAUGAGUUAUGUCAUGUUAUCGAUAUGUGAAUACAUAGCAUAUCAGAAGGCACACCCGGAGAACUGAAACAUCUUAGUACCCGGAGGAAGAGAAAGAAAAUUCGAUUCCCUUAGUAGCGGCGAGCGAAACGGGAAGAGCCCAAACCAACAAGCUUGCUUGUUGGGGUUGUAGGACACUCUGUACGGAGUUACAAAGGACGACAUUAGACGAAUCAUCUGGAAAGAUGAAUCAAAGAAGGUAAUAAUCCUGUAGUCGAAAAUGUUGUCUCUCUUGAGUGGAUCCUGAGUACGACGGAGCACGUGAAAUUCCGUCGGAAUCUGGGAGGACCAUCUCCUAAGGCUAAAUACUCUCUAGUGACCGAUAGUGAACCAGUACCGUGAGGGAAAGGUGAAAAGCACCCCGGAAGGGGAGUGAAAUAGAACCUGAAACCGUGUGCUUACAAGUAGUCAGAGCCCGUUAAUGGGUGAUGGCGUGCCUUUUGUAGAAUGAACCGGCGAGUUACGAUUUGAUGCAAGGUUAAGCAGUAAAUGUGGAGCCGUAGCGAAAGCGAGUCUGAAUAGGGCGUUUAGUAUUUGGUCGUAGACCCGAAACCAGGUGAUCUACCCUUGGUCAGGUUGAAGUUCAGGUAACACUGAAUGGAGGACCGAACCGACUUACGUUGAAAAGUGAGCGGAUGAACUGAGGGUAGCGGAGAAAUUCCAAUCGAACCUGGAGAUAGCUGGUUCUCUCCGAAAUAGCUUUAGGGCUAGCCUCAAGUGAUGAUUAUUGGAGGUAGAGCACUGUUUGGACGAGGGGCCCCUCUCGGGUUACCGAAUUCAGACAAACUCCGAAUGCCAAUUAAUUUAACUUGGGAGUCAGAACAUGGGUGAUAAGGUCCGUGUUCGAAAGGGAAACAGCCCAGACCACCAGCUAAGGUCCCAAAAUAUAUGUUAAGUGGAAAAGGAUGUGGCGUUGCCCAGACAACUAGGAUGUUGGCUUAGAAGCAGCCAUCAUUUAAAGAGUGCGUAAUAGCUCACUAGUCGAGUGACACUGCGCCGAAAAUGUACCGGGGCUAAACAUAUUACCGAAGCUGUGGAUUGUCCUUUGGACAAUGGUAGGAGAGCGUUCUAAGGGCGUUGAAGCAUGAUCGUAAGGACAUGUGGAGCGCUUAGAAGUGAGAAUGCCGGUGUGAGUAGCGAAAGACGGGUGAGAAUCCCGUCCACCGAUUGACUAAGGUUUCCAGAGGAAGGCUCGUCCGCUCUGGGUUAGUCGGGUCCUAAGCUGAGGCCGACAGGCGUAGGCGAUGGAUAACAGGUUGAUAUUCCUGUACCACCUAUAAUCGUUUUAAUCGAUGGGGGGACGCAGUAGGAUAGGCGAAGCGUGCGAUUGGAUUGCACGUCUAAGCAGUAAGGCUGAGUAUUAGGCAAAUCCGGUACUCGUUAAGGCUGAGCUGUGAUGGGGAGAAGACAUUGUGUCUUCGAGUCGUUGAUUUCACACUGCCGAGAAAAGCCUCUAGAUAGAAAAUAGGUGCCCGUACCGCAAACCGACACAGGUAGUCAAGAUGAGAAUUCUAAGGUGAGCGAGCGAACUCUCGUUAAGGAACUCGGCAAAAUGACCCCGUAACUUCGGGAGAAGGGGUGCUCUUUAGGGUUAACGCCCAGAAGAGCCGCAGUGAAUAGGCCCAAGCGACUGUUUAUCAAAAACACAGGUCUCUGCUAAACCGUAAGGUGAUGUAUAGGGGCUGACGCCUGCCCGGUGCUGGAAGGUUAAGAGGAGUGGUUAGCUUCUGCGAAGCUACGAAUCGAAGCCCCAGUAAACGGCGGCCGUAACUAUAACGGUCCUAAGGUAGCGAAAUUCCUUGUCGGGUAAGUUCCGACCCGCACGAAAGGCGUAACGAUUUGGGCACUGUCUCAACGAGAGACUCGGUGAAAUCAUAGUACCUGUGAAGAUGCAGGUUACCCGCGACAGGACGGAAAGACCCCGUGGAGCUUUACUGUAGCCUGAUAUUG
rnacentral:rRNA from 1 species